rnacentral:rRNA from 1 species
UACGUAGGUGGCAAGCGUUAUCCGGAAUUAUUGGGCGUAAAGAGGGAGCAGGCGGCAGCAAAGGUCUGUGGUGAAAGACUGAAGCUUAACUUCAGUAAGCCAUAGAAACCGGGCAGCUAGAGUGCAGGAGAGGAUCGUGGAAUUCCAUGUGUAGCGGUGAAAUGCGUAGAUAUAUGGAGGAACACCAGUGGCGAAGGCGACGAUCUGGCCUGCAACUGACGCUCAGUCCCGAAAGCGUGGGGAGCAAAUAGG